UGCUAGGAAACCGAACCUCUGCAUUACUUUUCUUAAAUUUAUUUAUUGUUGUUAUUGUACAAACCAAUCAGUCAUAAAACUGGUGGAAUUGUAAAUAACCAUAAAUUAGUUAAUUGAUUUAUUAGCUGGUAUCCGUUUGUGCCUGUUGCAUUUUGGUUUUAACUGUUUGAUGGUUUGUGCUUUUAUUGUGAAGGGGAAACUUCCGGUUUAACUGUUAACACAAAGGCAGCUUAACGACCAAAAGACCGAGGAUAGGUUGGAGCUGAAAUGUUUCGUGUUGGUAGCAGCCCGGUUUAUAGCAGCACACGCCGUUUUUGAAAGCAGAAGAAGAGAGUUGGAGCCUCUGAUGUUUCACUUCCUGCUGCGAUGCAGAGUUCAGUCUGAGAAGAAGAAGAAGAGGUUCAUGUGGAGGAUCACCUCCUCGCUGUGACACCAAGAUGAAGCUGCUUCAGUUCCUCUUCAUCCUCCAGCUGAGCUCGCUCUCUCCAGUUCUUCUUGAUGUUUUGGCUCCAGACCCUCUGACAACAGAGACACCUGAAGAGUUUGACUGUGAGUAAAACAUUGGUGGGGUUGUUGGCCCACGGCGCCAAGCAGGCUAGCGCCGCCUCUGCCAUCAGGUUUGGCGGUGAAGACACAGAACCAAUGUGCAGACAGCCAUUGGUGAGAGGCAUUAUGGGAAAUUUAAUCAGCAAAACGUAGCAGCAGAAAAAACAACAUUGAAGAGAAAAAAGACCUGAAUGCAGGAGGUGUGCAGGUACAGAGUCGGGACUUUUGGAUCUGAUGCCAUGCAGGACCCGUGUUACUGAUAUCGAUGCUUUUUCAUAUUUAAUCUUCAUAGAUCCAAAGGAUCUAAAAGACCUGGAAUAAAAUAUUGCCAAACAACAAAAUACUUUAUUAUCACA